UGCUCUUUCCUUUUGUUCUUUUCUCCUCUUCCUUAGGGCUUUUUUUUGGAUUUUUUUUUUACCUUGGGGAAGGGGAUCUGGGGAUGGAUGGACUUACUUUGGUCCGCCAAGCAAAAAUCUUCCUUUAUUUCUCUUAUUUUAACCGUGCUGUAACUCCUGUUUUGCUUCUGCCUUGGGAUUUUGCAAACAGGUUGUGCAGUUGUUGCCUCUUUCCAUAGGAUUUAACGUCAUACAGAUUAAUCUUGUUCACAUAUUUGUUUUUCCUCUUUGCUUAAUUAAAUUUUGUACUUCUAUAUGGAUACAAUAAUUUUUUUUCUUUUCAGUCAAUCAAUUUUUUUCCUGGCUCGUUUAUGAUUAAUAGCGCUGCCUCAUUUUCAUUGUUUGAGAUGCUUUGACUUGAAGUUGUUUGUGUUUGAGGACCAAGAUUGUUUCUUCUCCCAGUACCUAGAUGCUCGUAUGUUUCAUUGUGUAUUUGUGUGCUAUAGCGAAAUCCAAAUGCUGGCUUGUCAGUCACGUGGUUCAGGUCGGAGUUAGUAAUUUGCAAUUAGCUGUUAAUGUUUUAAGAAAAUCUUUCUUAUUUGUUUAUAAGAUGCAAUAUCAAAACUGUUUUCUGUUUUCUUUCUCUACCUUUGAUAAAUGUCAACCGUCUACUCUGAUUCAUGUGGAAUCAUGACUUCAGACUCUGUACAUAAGCUAUAGUUGUUUUGAAGAUUCAUUCUACUGCUAAAGAAACAUUUUCAUGUUAGAUAGAGUAACAUUUUAUGAUUCUAAUAGAAGAGUGAAUUAUAUUUUUUUUUCUUUUAGCUACUCAUUUUAUUUCUAAAUUGGUAUUCUGAUAUAAUUUUAAAUUAUAUGAUAUAGAUGGAGUCAGAGAGUGUUGAUGAUAGGGCAAAUGAAUCGACGCCUUUAGGGGGAUUGAAAUAAUUCAUGCCUCCUCCACAUAAUGGCAUAUCUUUAUGUGAAAUAAUUCAUGCUUUGUUGAUUGAUUGGGGGAUUGAAAAGAAAUUAUAUUGCAUGACUUUGGAUAAUGCAUCGGUAAAUGAUGUUUUUGUUGACAUGCUAAAGAACCAACUUAAUUUGAAUAAUGCACUGUACUCAGAUGGUGAGUUUUUUCAUGUCCGAUGUUGUGCUCAUAUUCUUAACUUAAUUGUAUAAGAGGGAUUAAAAGAGAUAGAUGAACCCAUCUUCAAAGUUCGUGAAAGUAUUAAAUAUGUGAGAGGUUCACAAGUUCGGAAACAAAAAUUUUUGAAAUGUGUUAAACAAGUUUCUUUGGAAAGUAAAAAAGGCUUAAAGCAGGAUGUUCCUACAAGAUGGAAUUCAACUUUUCUGAUGCUAGAGAGUGCUCUCUUUUACCGUCGUGCCUUUCUUCAUUUGAAAUUAAGUGACUCUAAUUACAAGCAUUGUCCAUCUGAAGAGGAGUGGGGUAAAGUUGAGAAGAUUAGCAAGUUGUUGUGUGUAUUCUAUGAUGCUACUUUAUUAUUCUCUGGAGCUAAAUAUCCUACAUCAAACAUGUAUUUUUCUCAAGUUUUCUUGAUUGAGCUUACUUUAAGGCAAGAGAUGCAGAGUACAGAUGCUUUCAUACAAAGAAUGACACGGCAGAUGUAUGGAAAAUUUGAAAAGUAUUGGUCAGAUCAUAGCUUAAUCUUGGCCAUGGCAGUUAUUUUGGAUCCUCGAUACAAAUUUCAGUUUGUGGAGUAUUGUUAUAAGAAGUUGAAUGGGUAUGAUUCUACUGAGAGCAUGCGCAUCCGUGAUUGUAUGUUUUCUCUCUUUAAUCAGUAUAUGCUUGCUUCUUCUAAAACUUGUUCUACUAGCACAUCAACUCAUGGAGAUAUGGAGAUUGGUACUUCAUCUGAAACUUCUGUGGCAUGUAGAAAAGCAGAUGCUUUUAAGGAUUUUGAUACAUUUGAAAGCUUUGAUUUUGUGACUACUGCAUAGAAGUCUCAAUUGGAAUUAUAUUUGGAUGAGCCUAGAGUUGAUAGGAGGUCCAAUUUGGAUAUUCUUGACUUUUGGAAAACCAAGCAGUCUCAUUAUCCUCAACUUUCUCUUAUGGCACGUGAUAUUCUAACUAUUCCAAUAUCUACGGUCGCCUCUGAAUCUGCUUUUAGUAUCGGUGGGCGAGUACUUGAUAAGUAUCGUAGUGCACUUAAACCGGAUAUUGCCGAGGCCUUGAUUUGUACUCGAGAUUGGGUGUUUGAAAAAAAAGAUGUUGAGGAGGCCGAGCUAGAUGAGAUUGUAGAAGAUGUCAUAAACUCAAGUUCCUACAAUGAAAUUCAAUCAACUCAAUGCUCGGCCAAUGUUGAAUCCUAUUCAUAGUGAGGCUACCAAGCUUGGAUGAUAGCAGAGAAGCAAUUGCAAUCACUUAGCUAUUUCCAACCAUGCAUCUAUCUCUUUGGAUAAUCAUGUAGACAGUUUAUAUGCUGAAUAUUUUUUGUUUGUUUGCUACUGCAUAUGGAAAGGGUCUUAGAAGAAAGAAUAUAAAGCAGUCUGAGAAGUGCCUUGUUUUCCAAAGCAGCUUCUAUGACCAAGACACUAACAACUUUGUUUUGGAAAUGGAAAUGAGGAGCACGGAGCACCCACAUUGAUAUUGAUUUGACUCGUGGGUAGCUUGUGUAUGUUCCAGUGCUUCUGACAUUGGGUGGCUCUGUGGCUUUUGCCUUACUCCUGUCCUGUGAAUUGUGAUCACAUUUUGGACUCUCAUAUUUUAUUAUUUUUGCAACUAGAAAACCAUCAGAUUGCAAUUAGUAAAAUUGUUUUCUGUUAUUACAUGAAUGAGCAUAUCUGCAGCUUUGUCGGU